rnacentral:snoRNA from 1 species
GUGCGAAGGUCCCUGCGGAGGGAAAAAACUCCAUGAUGAGAUCACUCUAACACUAAGAAUUAAUACCUUGCAAAUUGAUUAUUGGGCGAGUCGUAAGAUGCCUCAAAUUUUUCUUAAAUCUUGAUGCGUCUGGGAACCCUGGGCUAUAUGAAA